rnacentral:rRNA from 1 species
UUUCCCUACGGGACGCAGCAGUGAGGAAUAUUGGUCAAUGGGCUUACGCCUGAACCAGCCAAGUCGCGUGAGGGAAGACUGCCCUAUGGGUUGUAAACCUCUUUUGUCAGGGAGCAACGCCGGCUACGUGUAGCCGGACUGAGAGUACCUGAAGAAAAAGCAUCGGCUAACUCCGUGCCAGCAGCCGCGGUAAUACGGAAGGUCCGGGCGUUAUCCGGAUUUAUUGGGUUUAAAGGGAGCGUAGGCCGGCUUUUAAGUCAGCUGUGAAAUUCCGCGGCUCAACCGUGGAAUUGCAGUUGAAACUG